rnacentral:rRNA from 1 species
UCUUGAGAGCGGCGGACGGGUGAGUAAUGCCUAGGAAUCUGCCUGGUAGUGGGGGAUAACGUUCGGAAACGGACGCUAAUACCGCAUACGUCCUACGGGAGAAAGCAGGGGACCUUCGGGCCUUGCGCUAUCAGAUGAGCCUAGGUCGGAUUAGCUAGUUGGUGAGGUAAUGGCUCACCAAGGCGACGAUCCGUAACUGGUCUGAGAGGAUGAUCAGUCACACUGGAACUGAGACACGGUCCAGACUCCUACGGGAGGCAGCAGUGGGGAAUAUUGGACAAUGGGCGAAAGCCUGAUCCAGCCAUGCCGCGUGUGUGAAGAAGGUCUUCGGAUUGUAAAGCACUUUAAGUUGGGAGGAAGGGUUGUAGAUUAAUACUCUGCAAUUUUGACGUUACCGACAGAAUAAGCACCGGCUAACUCUGUGCCAGCAGCCGCGGUAAUACAGAGGGUGCAAGCGUUAAUCGGAAUUACUGGGCGUAAAGCGCGCGUAGGUGGUUUGUUAAGUUGGAUGUGAAAUCCCCGGGCUCAACCUGGGAACUGCAUUCAAAACUGACUGACUAGAGUAUGGUAGAGGGUGGUGGAAUUUCCUGUGUAGCGGUGAAAUGCGUAGAUAUAGGAAGGAACACCAGUGGCGAAGGCGACCACCUGGACUAAUACUGACACUGAGGUGCGAAAGCGUGGGGAGCAAACAGGAUUAGAUACCCUGGUAGUCCACGCCGUAAACGAUGUCAACUAGCCGUUGGAAGCCUUGAGCUUUUAGUGGCGCAGCUAACGCAUUAAGUUGACCGCCUGGGGAGUACGGCCGCAAGGUUAAAACUCAAAUGAAUUGACGGGGGCCCGCACAAGCGGUGGAGC